rnacentral:rRNA from 1 species
GACGAACGCUGGCGGCAUGCCUAAUACAUGCAAGUCGAGCGAACAGAUGAAGUGCUUGCACUUCUGACGUUAGCGGCGAACGGGUGAGUAACACGUAAGGAAUCUACCUAUAAGCGGGGGAUAACAUUCGGAAACGGGUGCUAAUACCGCAUAAUAUCUUCUUCCGCAUGGAAGAAGAUUGAAAGACGGCUCUGCUGUCACUUAUAGAUGACCUUGCGGUGCAUUAGUUAGUUGGUGGGGUAACGGCCUACCAAGACGAUGAUGCAUAGCCGAACUGGGAGGGUGAUCGGCCACAGUGGGACUGAGACACGGCCCAAACUCCUACGGGAGGAAGCAGUAGGGAAUCUUCCGCAAUGGGCGAAAGCCUGACGGAGCAAUGCCGCGUGAGUGAAGAAGGCCUUCGGGUCGUAAAACUCUGUUAUAAGAGAAGAACAAAUUGUAGAGUAACUGCUACAGUCUUGACGGUAUCUUAUCAGAAAGCCACGGCUAACUACGUGCCAGCAGCCGCGGUAA